rnacentral:miRNA from 11 species
GGGGAACCACCCUGCGUUCGCC